CCUACGGGUGGCAGCAGUGGGGAAUAUUGGACAAUGGGCGGAAGCCUGAUCCAGCAACGCCGCGUGAGGGAUGACGGCCUUCGGGUUGUAAACCUCUUUCAGUGAGGACGAAGCUUUUUGUGACGGUACUCACAGAAGAAGGACCGGCCAACUACGUGCCAGCAGCCGCGGUAAUACGUAGGGUCCGAGCGUUGUCCGGAAUUAUUGGGCGUAAAGGGCUCGUAGGCGGUUUGUCGCGUCGGGAGUGAAAACACCUCAGCUUAACUGGGUGCUUGCUUUCGAUACGGGCAGACUUGAGGUAUGCAGGGGAGAAUGGAAUUCCUGGUGUAGCGGUGAAAUGCGCAGAUAUCAGGAGGAACACCGGUGGCGAAGGCGGUUCUCUGGGCAUUACCUGACGCUGAGGAGCGAAAGUGUGGGGAGCGAACAGGAUUAGAUACCCC
rnacentral:rRNA from 1 species